AACGAACGCUGGCGGCAUGCCUAACACAUGCAAGUCGAACGAGACCUUCGGGUCUAGUUGCGCACGGGUGCGUAACGCGUGGGAACCUUCCCUUAGGUUCGGAAUAACUCCCCUAAAGGGGUGCUAAUACCGGAUAAUUUCUUCGGACCAAAGAUUUAUCGCCUUUGGAUGGGCCCGCGUUGGAUUAGCUAGUUGGUAGGGUAAAAGCCUACCAAGGAGACGAUCCAUAGCUGGUCUGAGAGGAUGAUCAGCCACACUGGGACUGGGACACGGCCCAGACUCCUACGGGAGGCAGCAGUGGGGAAUAUUGGACAAUGGGCGAAAGCCUGAUCCAGCACUGCCGCGUGAGUGAUGAAGGCCUUAGGGUUGUAAAGCUCUUUUACCCGGGAUGAUAAUGACAGUACCGGGAGAAUAAGCUCCGGCUAACUCCGUG
rnacentral:rRNA from 1 species